rnacentral:sRNA from 1 species
UUUGUUAGCGUCAAAGCUUUAAGAAGCAAGAAGAAGCUUCUUUAGCGUGUUUGGAGUCAGUUUUAACUAGAUCUUGUGUGUAUGAUUGAGUAUAAGAACUAGAACCACAACCGGAUCCU